UCAGCGCUCUGUUCUUAAAACUAUCAAGUGAAUAACGUCAAACUAGCCUACAGGUGUGGGUAAGAGACCAGACAGAAGAGAAUCAAGAUGCCCUGACUCACAGCCUUGCCAGUCACUGGACAGAGUGAGACCACCCUAUAUCAUUCAGCCACCAGCCAAUUACCAGCUGACCAUGAACACAUGAGACAGCACAGCCCAUCACCAGGAGGGGUCAGAUCAGAAGCACACAGCCAAUCAACAGAAUACUGAAGUUAAUGAAAGAAUCCACUGCCACAUGUAUCCCACAGACCUGCAGCCUCUCACCAGCUGGAAGAUUGUGCCUUUUCCUAUUCUUUUGAGUAAAUCCCAUGCUUGAUACGAGUAUAAACAAAGGAUAUAAGGAAUAUGAGCAAACAACUAUUGAUCACGAUCCCACAUUGGUGGGUUCCAGCUCUGCAUCGUGCUGUCUACUGUGAGGGAGGAGCCCACUUCGGAUCCUCUGUCUCCCUCUCUCUCUGCCCCUGCCCCACUUGU